rnacentral:rRNA from 1 species
AAACUAGGAUUAGAUACCCUAUUAUUAAAAAUUUAAAUAAAUAUUCUAAAAUAGUAGAUAAUUAUUUAUUGAAACUUAAAUAAUUUGGCGGUAUUUUAGUUCAUUUAGAGGAAUCUGUUUAUUAAUUGAUAAUCCACGAAUAAUUUUACUUAAUUAACAAUUUUGUAUAUCGUUGUUAAAAAAAUAUUUUUAAAAAAUUUUAAUAUUUAAAAAUUUAGAAUUGAAAUUAAAUCAGAUCAAGAUGCAGAUUAUAAUUAAGAAUAUAAUGGAUUACAAUAAAUUUAUUUAUAUGAAUAUUUUAUUGAAAAAUUAAAUUGAAAGUGGAUUUAAAUGUAAUUUUAUUUAGUUUAAUAAAAUGAUUAAAAAUUAAAAUAUGUACAUAUUGCCCGUCGCUUUCAUUUAUAAGUUGAAAUAAGUCGUAACAAAGUAGAGGUACUGGAAAGUGUUUCUAGAAAG